UGCGUAGGCGGCGAUGAAAGUUAGGAGUGAAAGCCCAGGGCUUAACCUUGGAAUUGCUUUUAAAACUCCAUCGCUCGAAUCUCGGAGAGGAUAGCGGAAUUGUCAGUGUAGCAGUGAAAUGCGUAGAUAUUGACAGGAACACCAGUGGCGUAAGCGGCUAUCUGGACGAGUAUCGACGCUGAGGCACGAAAGCGUGGGGAUCAAACAGGAUUAGAUACCCUGGUAGUCCACGCUGUAAACGAUGUGUGUUUGUUGCUGGGAGGUUCACCUCUCAGUAACGGAGCUAACGCAUUAAACACACCGCCUGGGAAGUACGGUCGCAAGAUUAAA
rnacentral:rRNA from 1 species